AGCGGCGCACGGGUGCGUAACACGUGGGUAAUCUGCCCUAGAGUCCGGAAUAACUCGCCGAAAGGCGUGCUAAUGCCGGAUGAGACCACGGGAGCCUCGGCUCCUGCGGGAAAAGGUGGCCUCUGUAUACAAGCUAUCGCUCUAGGAUGAGCCCGCGGCCCAUCAGCUCGUUGGCGGGGUAAUGGCCCACCAAGGCUACGACGGGUAGCUGGUCUGAGAGGACGAUCAGCCACACUGGAACUGAGACACGGUCCAGACUCCUACGGGAGGCAGCAGUGGGGAAUCUUGCGCAAUGGGCGAAAGCCUGACGCAGCAACGCCGCGUGUGUGAUGAAGGUCUUCGGAUCGUAAAGCACUGUCGCGAGGGACGAAUAAGGGGCGGGCGAACAGCCCGUUCCGAUGACGGUACCUCGAGAGGAAGCACCGGCUAACUCUGUGCCAGCAGCCGCGGUAAUACAGAGGGUGCAAGCGUUGUUCGGAAUUAUUGGGCGUAAAGCGCGUGUAGGCGGCUUUGUAAGUUGGGUGUGAAAGCCCUCGGCUUAACCGAGGAAGUGCGCCCAAAACUGCAUGGCUUGAGUACCGGAGAGGGUGGCGGAAUUCCCGGUGUGGAGGUGAAAUUCGUAGAUAUCGGGAGGAACACCAGCGGCGAAGGCGGCCACCUGGACGGAAACUGACGCUGAGGCGCGAAAGUGUGGGUAGCAAACAGGAUUAGAUACCCUG
rnacentral:rRNA from 1 species